rnacentral:rRNA from 1 species
AUUGAACGCUGGCGGAAUGCUUUACACAUGCAAGUCGAGCGGCAGCGCGGCCUUCGGGCUGGCGGCGAGCGGCGAACGGGUGAGUAAUGCAUCGGAACAUGCCCAGUCGUGGGGGAUAACACUUCGAAAGAAGUGCUAAUACCGCAUACGUCCUGAGGGGGAAAGCGGGGGAUCGCAAGACCUCGCGCGAUUGGAGUGGCCGAUGUCAGAUUAGCUAGUUGGUGGGGUAAAGGCCUACCAAGGCGACGAUCUGUAGCUGGUCUGAGAGGAUGAUCAGCCACACUGGGACUGGAACACGGCCCAGACUCCUACGGGAGGCAGCAGUGGGGAAUUUUGGACAAUGGGGGCAACCCUGAUCCAGCCAUGCCGCGUGAGUGAAGAAGGCCUUCGGGUUGUAAAGCUCUUUCGGCAGGAACGAAACGGUGGGCUCUAACAUAGUCCGCUAAUGACGGUACCUGAAGAAGAAGCACCGGCUAACUACGUG